GAUGAACGCUGGCGGUGUGCCUAAGGCAUGCAAGUCGAACGAAAUCCUUACUUCGGUAAGGUGAAAGUGGCAAACGGGUGAGUAACGCGUAGGAAUCUACCCAAAAGUGGGGAAUAGCCCUCCGAAAGGAGGUGUAAUACCGCAUAAUAUCGCAAGAUCAAAGCUUUAUGCGCUUUUGGAGGAGCCUGCGUCCUAUCAGGUAGUUGGUGGGGUAAUAGCCUACCAAGCCAAUGACGGGUAGCCGAUGUGAGAGCAUGAUCGGCCACAAGGUUACUGAGACACGGAGCCUACACCUACGGGUGGCAGCAACUAGGAAUAUUGCGCAAUGGACGAAAGUCUGACGCAGCGACACCGCGUGUGGGAAGACGCUUUUCGGAGUGUAAACCACUGUGGCAGGGGAACAAUUUUUGAGGGUACCCUGCUAGAAAGCACCUGCUAACUACG
rnacentral:rRNA from 1 species